rnacentral:rRNA from 1 species
GUGAGGAAUUUUCCGCAAUGGGCGAAAGCCUGACGGAGCAAUGCCGCGUGAAGGAUGAAGGCCUAUGGGUUGUAAACUUCUUUUCUCAGAAAAGAAUUAUGACGGUAUCUGAGGAAUAAGCAUCGGCUAACUCUGUGCCAGCAGCCGCGGUAAGACAGAGGAUGCAAGCGUUAUCCGGAAUGAUUGGACGUAAAGCGUCUGUAGGUUGUUUAAAAAGUAUUCUGUCAAAGAUUAGGGCUUAACCCUAGAUAGGCAGAAUAAACUUUUAAGCUAGAGUUUGGUAGAGGCAGAGGGAAUUCCCGGUGGAGCGGUGAAAUGCGUAGAUAUCGGGAGGAACACCAAAGGCGAAGGCACUCUGCUGGGCCAAUACUAACACUGAGAGACGAAAGCGAGGGGAGCAAAUGGGAUUAGAAACCCGUGUAGUCC